rnacentral:lncRNA from 1 species
GCCUGGAAGACCUCGUGCCAAGGAAGGAGGGCAAGAAGCAGACCCAACACAUUGGAAAUGCAAGGAGGGAAAACUUUUGGGGGCCGGCAGCAGAAUCGUCUCCCAGAGCAACACUUUUUAAGAGAACAUUAUUACAAGAUUAUAGACAAGAUACCCAUCAUGCCAGCCUUGGGGAUGACGGUGUCUGUGUCUAUGUUUGAAAUUCUGUGUGAAUGAGAGUGAGCGAGUGAAUGAGCAUGAGAGAGAGGGAGAUCUCACUACAAAGGCCCAAGUAUAUUCACAUUCAGGAUUAGGCAAAUUAUUCUUUUGGUAGGGGAUGUUGAGAGUGUCUAGUAGCACCCAGGCCUGGCCUUCAUGCCACUAAAGCAAAUCAAUGUUUCCCUGGCUACCAUGCCAUCAACCUUCACCCGCUAUCUAAAUGGGACUAGCCCACAUUGGCUUCAGCUGCAGACACAGGACCUCCAGGGCUAAGGUCUACCUGGGCCAAGACUAUAGGAGUCCAUGGUAAAUGGCUAACUUUAAUAGAGGUAACAUGACUGGGAGCAGGGAAUGUAACCCUUUGUUUCCCUACGUAAAAGGUGAUGCAUUAAAUACACAGAUUGUAGUAUCACAGGGCAUUGUUUCUUCAACCACAGAGAUGGUUAAGGGUGUGUUUCCUUUCAGCUUGAAUUGGAAAUGCUAACAAGACCUGGUGCCCAGAAGCAACCUAGAAGUCACAAUUGUCAUUUUCUGUCCCCCCACAAGCUGCAAGGACAGCUCUUUUUCAGGUCUGCAAGGUGAGAGGGAAAUCUUCAUCUUGAAUCAUUUUCGAAGGAGAUUUUCCUUCAGGGCCUAUUUGAAUUAAAAGAAAUGCCACAACUCAAACUAUAGCUCAGAGGUGAGAGUAUGUGGUUCAUUAGAUGUUCUUGGACUAUAGUUCCUAUCAGCCCUAUGUAGCAUAGGCAGUGAUGAUGGAUCAUGGGAGCUGUUUAAAAAAAAACAUCAGGAGUGCUACACACUUCUCCUACCUUCCAUUGCUUCCAGCUCUGUUUAUGUGACUUUGACACUGCAGUUUUCAUGUAAGCCGUUGUGUUUGAGUGCCUUUGCUGAAGAUAAACUUAUGAUCUCCAUUUGGGAAGGUGUAGCCAUUGGCAUUGUUACACUUCAGUAUUUCAUUUGCUUGAGCCCAGAGCCAUCCUGAAGUAAUUUUCGGGAGUAGACGACUAGAAAUCCCCCCCCCCCCGAAUUUUGAUGCCCCCUACCCACCAAACAAAUUGCUAAAAAAUACAUGCUGCGGCGGUGGC